GGGGCUGUAGCUCAGUGGCAGAGUGCUUACCUAGCAUGUGUGAGGCACUGGGUUUGAUUCCCAGCACCA
rnacentral:tRNA from 1 species